rnacentral:tRNA from 1 species
UAGCUCAGUCGGUAGAGCGAUUCACUCGUAAUGAAUAGGUCAGGAGUUCGAGACCAGCCUG